UUUGAUAAAAAUCAGAUAUAUUUGGAGCAGAGACCGCUUCCACUAUUUCCCUUACUAGAUUUCUAAUAUCACCAUCUUCUGUUUCAUUAUCAAAAUUAGCCAUGUCCUUAGAUAUCAGAACAUUACUCAGCAUGUUCAACGCAGUUGCAAUGACUAGCUCUCCAAUAUUCACCACUUGACCUUCUUUUGACCUCAAGAAUUCCACCAAUUCCUUCACUUUUUUCUCCCUUAAACAAGCUUGAGACUCCAAUACUUUGCCAGAGAAAAGCUCAGUUUUGCAUAAAGUCCUCAGGUAUCUCCAUCUACUACUACAUCCAGAAUUCCAGCCCAAUGAUGUCUUCUCAAGGUCUGAUCCUUCCGAAGGAACAGCAUUUGGAACAUGUCUAGCAGACAGGAUUCUAUCAUGGGUUUUGAGGAUUUCUAUAGCAACAGAAGGUGAUGAUCCAACAACUAGCCAUUUAGUUCCAAACUUGAGGGAUAUAAUAGGGCCAUAUGCUUUUGCAAAAUUUGUCAGAGUUAUGUGAGGCAUUUUUCCCAUAUGAAAAAUGUUUCCUAUGACUGGCCAUGGUGUUGGUCCUGGCGGAAGUUGUGUGAUUUUGGAUGAUUUGAAAACUCUGAAGAUAAAAAUGAUUAAGGGUAAGAGGAAAAGUGGAACCAGGCAAAGAAUUUCAAAUGGCUGAGCCAUGACAUGCAAAUGAACAAGUGUUUUUUUCUUGCAAAAUAUAUUUUUGUGUAGAAUUUUCAACUAGAUUUAUUGAAGUAACCUCAUAAUCUAUCCUGUGGUUGAAGUCACAUAUCUACUAGUUGUGGGGCAAGCAUUUCUUGGCUUAACUUGGAUUCUUGUGAUUGAUCCUAGAUUAGGGUGAUAUAGGGGAAGAUAUUUAAGUAGUCAUUUGGAGAAUUUCUUUUUAUAUAGGUGGACUUUCAAUCUUUAUUUCAUUUCUUUUUUAAAAAGAAAAAAAUUUAGUAAGUUCAAAAGACUCUUGUACAACACAAGGCAACUGUUAUCUAGGCUUUGGGAUGGUCAUGAGUUGACAUGCUUAAUGUUAUUUACACUGCUCUGCCUAAAAUGCUACUCUACUAUUUUAGGACAUCCAUCUUAGCAUUCGCAUCUCUACUACGCUCAUCUUGUGAAUAUUGUUCCACUGUAAUCAAGGGCAAGAUGGGUAGACCCAAGUGAAACAUUUCCACUUGAAAAUUAAUGCACUUGGCCACAUGAUCUUAAUAGGACUCCUGAGGCUUCGCUUUGUUCGUUCUUACCUUACCUGUGAUUUCAUAUUUGUGCUCUUAGUUCAGCUUAUUCAGUCAAUUUCGUCGAUGUAUUUUUUGUUGGUUGCAUUGAUUUGUUGUUGUUGCUGUUUCUCAUUCAAUUGUAGCAAGAAGAUGUCAGGUAUUGUUUUCAAUGAAGUGAUUCUUCUGGGAAUUUCUCAAGUCAAUCACAAAUUCUUUGCCUUCAUUUAUAUAUUUGUAUCUUUGAAAUAGAAUAAUUUCACUUGAAUUUAUUCUAUUGUACACCAAAAGAACUUGUGUCUGUAUAUAGCAGGACAAAAUAUACUUGUAUCUAGUGCACAAUGCAACAGAUAACACAGAGAAGAUAUACUGAUAGAAUAUCCUGAUGGUCAUUUUCUGGCCUUGGGAAUCAGAAGCAGUGGUUCUUUCUUUUGCAGUGUUACUCCAAACUUCUCAGUCAUGUCUAGCUCGGCGGGACAUUUUCCAUGAGGAAGUUCCCAAUCAAAGAAAUGAACAAGGGAAGCAAGGACUAAGGGAACUUUUAUAGCAGCCAUGGGCAGGCCUGGACAUAUUCUCCUUCCUGCACCGAAUGGUAAGAACUCAAAGUCGUUCCCUUUGAAGUCCAUAUCAGAGCGCAGAAACCUCUGUGGUCUAAACAUUUCUGGCUCUUCCCAUAUCAAAGGAUCCCUUGUGAUAGCCCAGACGUUAACCAUGAUUUGAGCGUCUUUAGGAAUUGUGUAACUCAUCACUUGACAGGAUUCAAUAGCACGAUGUGGAAGCAGCAACGGUGCUGGAGGAUGCAACCUAAGUGUUUCCUUCACACAGGCUUGGACGUAGGACAUCUGCAGCAAUUGAGAUUCUUUUAGGUAAUCACUUUUACUGAGUUCUAUCUCGAGCUCCUCUUGAACUUUUUUCAUUGGCUCUACAUUUUUAAUCAGCUCUGCCAUCGCCCACUCGAUUGUUGAGGUAAUGGUGUCUGAACCAGCAGAGAGCAACUCCUUCACAGGGUUAGAAGGAAACUUGUCAUAUAUACUACAUCGCAAUAAAGAACUCCAGCUUUCUUGAAUAUAAGAACUAUGAACUAACAUGAUUACUUUGAUUUUUAUUUUUCAGAUACUACUAAAGACUAACAUGGUUUUUACCAGAAAAUGAAUCUCAUAAAGCAAAUUUUGAUAGAAAGAGAGGGAACAAACCACGAAUAGCUGGUGAAUACAAUCAUUGGGAACACCAUUAUCAAGGAGAGCUUCCAAGAAAUCCUGUUGGCUAGAAGAACCACUCUCUUUAUUCUUCCUUCUUUGCCUUCUUUCUUCAAGAAUCGGUUCCCAAUUGGAGCGAAUCUCUGCCAUUACAUAUCGAGCUUUUUCCCGCAGACCUUGAAGAUCUAGUUUACCUAAAAUUGGAUAAAAAUCAGAUAUAUUUGGAGUGGAGAUAGCUUCCACUAAUCCCCUUACUAGAUUUCUAAUCUCACCAUCUUCUGUUUCAUUAUCAAAAUUAGCCAUAUCUUUAGAUAUCAUAACAUUACUCAGCAUGUUCAACGCAGUUGCAAAGACUAGCUCUCCAAUAUUCACCACUUGACCUUCUUUUGACCUCAAGAAUUCC
rnacentral:lncRNA from 1 species